GCCUUCAGUCUCCUCCUCUUCAUCUCUGCUCUCUGGCCACCACAAGAUGAAUCCUGCAGUCCUUGCUCAGGUCACGUGUUGCCUCACCGCAGGCUCCAAAGCAACAGAAACAACCGACCACGAGCUGAAACCACCAGCAGUGCAGAUCAAAAUAAACCUGCCUCUUCGUGAGCUGGUUCACCUCAGGCAUCCUUACCGCCACGAAAAGCUGGCCUUUCGCUGCUUCAGUGAACUAGUUAAGAGCCUACGGAGAGCGCAAGGCGAGCUCAGAAAGCAUGCAAAUAAAGAAGUAGAUCUGCAGAGAUGUAUUCGCAAAUAGAAGCAAAACUGGCCAAAGUCAACAGAGAUAUGAUCAGCUCAGUUCUAUCAUCUGAAUAACAAGAACUAUUUACAUGGUAAUUCUCCUCCACUUAUCCAUGGGCGGAUGAUGAAGACACCAUCUUUUACAGAACUCUGGGAUAGCUCCGUAGGACACAUCAUAGACCAUUCCUGAGGUCAACAGCCAGAAGUCACAAACAACCAAACCAAUGGGCUUUGCAAAUAGGUGUCUACUGGGAAUUGCCAAACUUUAGAAGACCCUGACAUAUUAGGCACUGGUUCAUCAUUAAGGGAACCAAGUCAGGAAUUCAAGGCAGAAACCUGAAGGUAGGAUCUGAAGAAGCAGAGACCAUGGAGGAGUGAUGUCCACUGGCUUGCUUCCAGAGACUUCUGUUGUACAACCCCAGAUGACCCCUGCAGGAGUUACAUCACCCACAGUAGGCUGGGUCCUCCUCCAUCAGUCAGCAAUCAAGAAAAUUCCCCGAGGACACGCCCAUAGACUGCUCUGAAGGAGGCAACUCCUCUAAGGAGGCUCUUUGAUCCCAGGAAAGCAAGGCAUUCGUUUGAAAGUUUCCAGUUAAGCAAAAGUUCAAAACAUGUUUUACAAGUCGAAAAGACACAUUAUCAAACUUAAGAGAUGGCUCAGUGGACAAAGGCACUUGCUGCCGAGUCUGACGGUGUGCCUUUGAUUCAUCAACCCAUUUGCUUGGAGCACCUACUCCCACAAGCUGUCCACCUGCGUGUGUGCUUUGUCACGUACUCAACAAGCUGCGAGCACGUAGAAGAGAACACUGAAGUAAACAGAUGCAAUUUCAAGAAAACAUACUUCAGUUUGCAAGCUCCGUGCAAGGUAAAAAUUCAAGAGUACCACACAUGUUGCCCAGUAGGGCGAAUCUGAAAAUGAGUGCACAUCCCCUGACCCCUGUGUCGUUUCCCAAGCCCGGUAAGCCCACACACAAGCCAGAUAGGGAUGACCACGGACAGCCCACAUGUGAGGAGCUCUUGCAGGGUGGCUGGGUUACCUCACUAAUCCCCAGGAGCCUGCAGCACAGGUGUUAUUAUGAUUGCUAUCGCCCAGGUGAGAGCACCUUCCCGAGAUCAGCUCUCUGUUAAGAGGUAGAGUUGACAUCAGCUCUCUUGUUUUCCAGAUACGGGUCUCUCUGAACCAGGCAACACAUAGCUGGGAAAACAGUGAGUAGCCCAGGGAGUAACUGAGUGGUGUAGUUUAAGCUGACUUUGAGUUUUCUGUGUAGCUCAGGAUGACCUGGAAUUCCUGACGCUCUCGCCUCCACCUCCCAAAGGCUGGAACUCUAGGCACCCCUGUCUGACUCAGAGAAUGUAAUGUGUGUAUGAAAGCUAUGAACUGAGAGAUUAAGCUCUGCGAAGAAGGACCACUGAGAGUAUUACCAACACAGAGACAGCUGACCUUAAUGCCUAAGUUCUUUUAAGAAACAAGAACUCAAGGCCUUCAUUCAAGAGUCUUCAUCAACGUGGGUUCUCGGCAUGGGUCCCUAGACCUAAAGUAUUGCUUCUGUCUGGAGCAGUGCAUUUUCUACCGACCACCUUUAGCUGAAGGCACUUUGGGCUGGGCAACCUCGCGCACACAAGUGGCUUCCAAACUGCUCAGCCAAUAAACAGAGAGAAGCCUACACUUAGGGAAAUUGGGGUCAAUAUUUGUUAUGAUCAUACAGUCCUGCAGACUAACAGGAUGUGGGCACAAAGGCAGUCAACAGAGUAUGACACACCUCCCACAUGCACUGGGGGGCCACACCCUGGCCUGCCCACCACCACUGUCUGCUUGGAACACUGGGCCCUGGAUGACCUGGUGACCGACAGUAAAUACAAUAUCUACUUCUCAUGGAACUCACAUCCUAGACCAAUACUUACUAAACAGCCACAUAAGCGAAAUGAAACUGAUUCUAGCAUCCUCUGCCAUCGUGAAUGCUAAGAUGGAAACAUGAUAGGCAUUCAGAGGUCCUGAUAGUUAUGGUAAAGGUGUCAUAGCAGAAAAUAAGAGAUUCACGGCCUAUGGAACACUUGCUUUUACACUUUAGUAUACUAGUUUGCUUUCUGACCCCGGGAUAAACAUCACAACAAAAAAGCAACUUGGUCAAGAAUGAUGGAGAGAAUAUUAACCUGAAGGCUAAGAACUAACAUGGUCAAAUAUUCAUGUCACUCAAGUGGCAGGAAAGGCUUUCCCUGCAGUGGAAGCCCUCUGUAAACUUUGUAUAUGUAUAAAAUUUGUAAACCCUAAUGGCAGCAAAAUAGCCAGGGCCCCCUUGAGGAGCUCCUGCAUCCAGGACCCUCUCUGAGACCUCCCUAACUGCUGUAACUGUCACAAAGGUCAUCUCCAGAACCCUCCCCAGUUUAUGCUAAUUUUAAGUGAAAAGUUCAAACAAAAGCCACCAAUCCCUGAAGAGGAAAACCCACCAAUCCCUGAGCUCCCUAAGCUCAGGACUUGAAAUCCCACCAAUCCUCACCCUGAAAAUCUCCACCCUAGAAAGUCACCCACAGGAACCCCCAAAUAAACACUGUACUUUGUCCGA